rnacentral:rRNA from 1 species
UACUCCCGCCGGCGACCGGCGCACGGGUGAGUAACACGUAUGAAACCUGCCCGUAGCAGGGGGAUAAGCGGAAGAAAUUCCGUCUAAUACCGCGUAACAACCCAUGGAGGCAUCUCUGUGGGUUUAAAGGAAGCGAUUCCGGCUACGGAUGGUCAUGCGUCGCAUUAGCUUGCCGGCGGGGUAACGGCCCACCGGGGCGACGAUCAGUAGGGGUUCUGAGAGGAAGGUCCCCCACAUUGGAACUGAGACACGGUCCAAACUCCUACGGAAGGCAGCAG